UUGCAAUGAUGAAAGUUUUACUCUUUGAGGAAAGCCAUGUGCUUAAUGAACUUGACAUGGUGGAGAUCAUGUUGAUUCUGAGCGGUUACCUGAGCAA